CGAACCCGCGCGGGAGAGUCCCGGUGCCUCGUCGCACCGGGCGCCGAAGGAGCAAGUCCUCCCUUGAAUCUCUCAGGCACCAGUCACCGCGCGGGCGAG
rnacentral:ncRNA from 2 species